AUUGAACGCUGGCGGCAUGCUUUACACAUGCAAGUCGAACGGCAGCGGGGAGGAGCUUGCUUCUCUGCCGGCGAGUGGCGAACGGGUGAGUAAUACAUCGGAACGUGUCGAGAAGAGGGGGAUAACCACCCGAAAGGGUGGCUAAUACCGCAUAAAUUCUGAGGAAGAAAGCUGGGGACCUGGGAAUAGGCCUAGCGCUUUUUGAUCGGCCGAUGUCGGAGUAGCUAGUUGGUGGGGGAAAGGCUCACCAAGGCGACGAUCUGUAGCGGGUCUGAGAGGAUGAGCAGUAACACUGGAACUUAGACACGGUCCAGACUCCUCCGGGAGGCAGCAGGGGGGAAUAUUGGACGAUGGGCGAAAGCCUGAUCCAGCCAUGCCGCGUGUGUGAAGAAGGUCUUCGGAUUUUAAAGCACUUUAAGUUGGGAGGAAGGGCAGUAAGUUAAUACCUUGCUGUUUUGACGUUACCAACAGAAUAAGCACCGGCUAACUUCGUG
rnacentral:rRNA from 1 species